UAGAAUAGUAAGCCUUAUCCUGCUUCAAGUA
rnacentral:piRNA from 1 species